GUGAGUGAUUCUUGUUAGGGGAAGAUGCAUAGCUAAAGGAUGGUCCACCUAUUAAUUUACUCUUUUUAUGUUGGUGUAUGUCUGGUUUGAUAUUAUUGUUUAGUAAUGUAAGUUUGUGUAGUUUUAGUUAAGCUAAGUCUAUGUGCUGCUUAUAAGAGUUUUUGUGGUGCUUUACAUUGAUAGGAAUAUUGUUGUAAUAUGGUAUUGUA
rnacentral:rRNA from 1 species